CCUACGGGAGGCAGCAGUGAGGAAUAUUGGUCAAUGGACGCAAGUCUGAACCAGCCAUGCCGCGUGCAGGAAGACGGCUCUAUGAGUUGUAAACUGCUUUUGUACGGGGGUAAACUCAGAUACGCGUAUCUUUCUGCAAGUAUCGUACGAAUAAGGAUCGGCUAACUCCGUGCCAGCAGCCGCGGUAAUACGGAGGAUUCAAGCGUUAUCCGGAUUUAUUGGGUUUAAAGGGUGCGUAGGCGGUCGGAUAAGUUAGAUGUGAAAGCCCGAGGCUCAACUUCGGAAUUGCCUCUGAUACUGUCAGGCUAGAGAGUAGUUGCGGUAGGCGGAAUGUAUGGUGUAGCGGUGAAAUGCUUAGAGAUCAUACAGAACACCGAUUGCGAAGGCAGCUUACCAAGCUACGUCUGACGUUGAGGCACGAAAGCGUGGGGAGCAAACAGGAUUAGAUACCCCUGUAGUC
rnacentral:rRNA from 1 species